AGUGAACGCUGGCGGUAGGCCUAACACAUGCAAGUCGAACGGCAGCACAGUAAGAGCUUGCUCUUACGGGUGGCGAGUGGCGGACGGGUGAGGAAUACAUCGGAAUCUACUUUUUCGUGGGGGAUAACGUAGGGAAACUUACGCUAAUACCGCAUACGACCUACGGGUGAAAGCACGGGAUCUUCGGACCUUGCGCGAUUGAAUGAGCCGAUGUCGGAUUAGCUAGUUGGCGGGGUAAAGGCCCACCAAGGCGACGAUCCGUAGCUGGUCUGAGAGGAUGAUCAGCCACACUGGAACUGAGCCACGGUCCAGACUCCUACGGGAGGCAGCAGUGGGGAAUAUUGGACAAUGGGCGCAAGCCUGAUCCAGCCAUACCGCGUGGGUGAAGAAGGCCUUCGGGUUGUAAAGCCCUUUUGUUGGGAAAGAAAAGCAGCAGGUUAAUACCCCGCUGUUCUGACGGUACCCAAAGAAUAAGCACCGGCUAACUUCGUG
rnacentral:rRNA from 1 species